rnacentral:rRNA from 1 species
GUCAAGUGACUAAGUGCAUGUGGUGGAUGCCUUGGCGAUUACAGGCGACGAAGGACGUGAUAGCCUGCGAUAAGCUUCGGGGAGCUGGCAAAUUAGCUUUGAUCCGGAGAUUUCCGAAUGGGGAAACCCACCGAAAGGUAUCGUAUUCUGAAUACAUAGGGAUACGAGGCGAACCGGGUGAACUGAAACAUCUCAGUAGCUAGGAAAAGACAU